AGUGAACGCUGGCGGUAGGCCUAACACAUGCAAGUCGAACGGCAGCACAGUAAGAGCUUGCUCUUACGGGUGGCGAGUGGCGGACGGGUGAGGAAUACAUCGGAAUCUACUUUUUCGUGGGGGAUAACGUAGGGAAACUUACGCUAAUACCGCAUACGACCUACGGGUGAAAGCAGGGGAUCUUCGGACCUUGCGCGAUUGAAUGAGCCGAUGUCGGAUUAGCUAGUUGGCGGGGUAAAGGCCCACCAAGGCGACGAUUCGUAGCCGGUCUGAGAGGCUGAUCAGCCACCCUGGAACUGAGCCAGGGUCCAGACGCCUACGGGAGGCAGCAGUGGGGAAUAUUGGACAAUGGGCGCAAGCAUGAUCCAGUCAUACCGCGUGGGUGAAGAAGGCCUUCGGGUUGUAAAGACCUUUUGUUGGGAAAGAAAAGCAGCAGGUUAAUACCCAGCUGUUCUGACGGUACCCAAAGAAUAAGCACCGGCUAACUUCGUG
rnacentral:rRNA from 1 species